AUCCAUAUCCACCUUGUGUGCAAUGUCAGUCGAUCUUCUUCAUGGAGAUCGACCAAACAUCAACCUUUAUUUUUUAACUCUUUUGUCUGAAAAAUAUUAUGAAUAAACAAUUCAAAAUACAACUUUCAACAACGGAUCUCUUAGGCUCUCGCAUCGAUGAAGAACGCAGCGAAAUGCGAUACGUAAUGUGAAUUUGCAGAAUUCAGUGAAUCAUCGAAUCUUUGAACGCAUAUUGCGCUCUUUUGGUAUUCCGAAGAGCAUGCUUGUUUGAGUAUCAGUAAACACCUCAAAGCUUUUGGAUUUUUUAAUCGAAAAGCUUUGGACUUGAGCAAUCCCAACACCAAUCUUUUUGAGAUCGGUGGCGGGUUGCUUGAAAUGCAGGUGCAGCUGGACAUUCUCCUGAGCUAAAAGCAUAUUCAUUUAGUCCCGUCAAACGGAUUAUUACUUUUGCUGCAGCUAACAUAAAGGGAGUUUGACCGUAUUGGCUGACUGAUGCAGGAUUUCACAAGGGUCGGCAACGAUUCUUGUUAAACUCGAUCUCAAAUCAAGUAAGACUACCCGCUGAACUUAAGA
rnacentral:rRNA from 1 species